UUUAGUUAUUUGUUUUGGUACUCGGACGUCACUGAUAAACCGGAUGUCAUGAUGGGCUACUGACGGGCGCUCGCCGGCCCAGGCGGAGGGCUUAGGGCCGGCGCGAAAGGGCUUUCGGGGCCCGCCAAAGCAACAAAGAUAUGUAAACACAGGGCGAAGAGUCGGGCGGCAGGGAAGCCACCAGGGGCGUGAGCCCCUUCACUCAUUAAUGAUCCUUCCGCAGGUUCACCUACGGAAA
rnacentral:misc_RNA from 1 species